rnacentral:rRNA from 1 species
UACGUAGGGCGCAAGCGUUGUCCGGAAUUACUGGGCGUAAAGAGCUCGUAGGUGGUUUGUCGCGUUGUUCGUGAAAACUCACAGCUCAACUGUGGGCGUCCGGGCGAUACGGGCAGACUGGAGUACUGCAGGGGAGACUGGAAUUCCUGGUGUAGCGGUGGAAUGCGCAGAUAUCAGGGGGAACACCGGUGGCGAAGGCGGGUCUCUGGGCAGUAACUGACGCUGAGGAGCGAAAGCGUGGGGAGCGAACAGG